CUGAAAACUUCUAGUCAUCCUGACGAACCAAUUAUUUGGUUCAGGGGAGAUUGGACAUUGGACCCACAAUGGGACUUUUGCCACACCUAUCAAGAAAGUGAUGAUCUUUGCAGAAUUCAGUUGCAUAUCUUGGAUCUGAGUUCUACGCAGCAUUGGACAAGUUGAUUAAAAGCCAUCUGAUGUUUACACCGUGGUAUUUCAGGGUCUUCCAGUCAUCUUGGAGGAUGACCCAGAGGAAUUUUACAGGAUGUGCUUUGAUGUUGAUGUAGAUGCAGACUUCAGUGAAGUAGAUGUAGGCCUGCUCACAGUUUUACCAG